rnacentral:rRNA from 1 species
AACGAACGCUGGCGGCAUGCCUAACACAUGCAAGUCGAACGAAGCCUUCGGGCUUAGUGGCGCACGGGUGCGUAACGCGUGGGAAUCUGCCCUUGGGUUCGGAAUAACAGUUAGAAAUGACUGCUAAUACCGGAUGAUGUCUUCGGACCAAAGAUUUAUCGCCCAAGGAUGAGCCCGCGUAGGAUUAGGUAGUUGGUGGGGUAAUGGCCCACCAAGCCGACGAUCCUUAGCUGGUCUGAGAGGAUGAUCAGCCACACUGGGACUGAGACACGGCCCAGACUCCUACGGGAGGCAGCGGUGGGGAAUAUUGGACAAUGGGCGAAGGCCUGAUCCAGCAAUGCCGCGUGAGUGAUGAAGGCCUUAGGGUUGUAAAGCUCUUUUACCAGGGAUGAUAAUGACAGUACCUGGAGAAUAAGCUCCGGCUAACUCCGUGCCAGCAGCCGCGGUAA